AACCAAUAACUUUAUACAUGCCUAAUGCCAAGGUGCUUCCAUUAACCCCUCCAAACCAAUAACUUUAUACAUGCCUAAUGCCAAGGUGUUUCCAUUAACCCCUUCAAACCAAUAACUUUAUACAUGCCUAAUUACGUACGUUAUUUUAAGGAGGUUUUUCUUAUUAGAUUACUCGAUGAAUCAAGAAAUGUAAUCGAUAGAAUACUCGAUUAC